rnacentral:rRNA from 1 species
GAUGAACGCUGGCGGCGUGCCUAAUACAUGCAAGUCGAGCGAACGGACGAGGAGCUUGCUCCUCUGACGUUAGCGGCGGACGGGUGAGUAACACGUGGAUAACCUACCUAUAAGACUGGGAUAACUUCGGGAAACCGGAGCUAAUACCGGAUAAUAUAUUGAACCGCAUGGUUCAAUAGUGAAAGACGGUUUUGCUGUCACUUAUAGAUGGAUCCGCUCCGCAUUAGCUAGUUGGUAAGGUAACGGCUUACCAAGGCAACGAUGCGUAGCCGACCUGAGAGGGUGAUCGGCCACACUGGAACUGAGACACGGUCCAGACUCCUACGGGAGGCAGCAGUAGGGAAUCGUCCGCAAAGGGCGAAAGCUUGACGGAGCAACGCCGCGUGAGUGAUGAAGGUCUUCGGAUCGUAAAACUCUGUUAUUAGGGAAGAAAAAAUGUGUAAGUAACUAUGCACGUCUUGACGGUAACUAAUCAGAAAGCCACGGCUAACUACGUG